GUGCUCAUUUUGGCAGCACAUAUAAUGAAAUUGGAAUAGGUCAUAGAAAAUUACCAUGGCUCCUGAGCAAGAAUGACUUACCAAUUGUUGAAGAACAAAAUACUUUC
ensembl:snRNA U6 U6 spliceosomal RNA